rnacentral:misc_RNA from 1 species
GGAAGGAUCAUUAUUUUGCGUUUCGGCGUACCGGACGAUUUGUGGAAUGUAUUUGUUCUCUUUACUAAAAUAAUCGUAUACAACGCAACUUACAAAAUAAACAACUCCUAGCAAUGGAUAUCUUGGCUCCCACUACGAUGAAGAACGCAGCGAAAUGCGAUACGUCAUGCGAAUCGCAACGCCCAGUGAAUCAUGAAAUGUUUGAACGCAUGUUGCGCAUUCGCGAGAAUGCAUGCCUCUUUGAGAAUCGGUUUCUUUUGACUGGACAUUCGUGGUGCGAUGAUCUCAAAUCAACACAGUGUUUCGGCACACGCAACCAAAAAGAUCUCAAAUGAGGCAAGAGUACCCGCUGGACUUAAGCAUAUCAUUAGGCGGAGGAAGAGAAACUAACAAGGAUUCCCUCAGUAACGGCGAGUGAAGCGGGAAGUGCUCAAACCGAAAAUCUGCUUGUUCAAAAGCCGAAUUGUGGUCUGUGGACGCGUGCGUUGGUGCGCGGGAGACGCCCCAAGUCGACUGGGACGUCGCAUCGGAGAGGGUGAGAAUCCCGUGGCGGGUGUGUCCCGCGCAGUGAAACGCCGCGAUCGACGAGUCGGGCUGCUUGGGAGUGCAGCCCUAACCGGGUGGUACAUGCCAUCCAAAGCUAAAUACGAGUGGGAGACCGAUAGCGAACAAGUACCGUGAGGGAAAGAUGAAAAGAACUUUGAAAAGAGAGUGCAACAGUGCUUGAAAUUGCUUGGAUCGAAGGGAUGUCGUCGUUUAGCGUGUUCGAAUGGGUGUUGCGUGGGGGAAUCACGGUGCGUGGAGGUGCAUUUUUCCGAAAAUGACAAUACACGUCCCAUCAACUCCACAAGGCAUCGAGGCGCGGAAACCCUCGGGUUUGACGAUUCGGACGAAAUCGACGACAUUCGCCCGUCUUGAAACACGGACCAAGGAGUCCUACGUCGGCGCGAGUACGCGGGUGCGAAACCCGAGUGCGCAAUGAAAGUGACAUGGUGUGCAUCGCUCAAGAUUCAACACGGGGCGGUUGCACCGACCCAGAGCGGCGCCGUAGGGACCCGAAAGAUGGUGAACUAUGCCUGAGCAGGAUGAAGCCGGGGGAAACCCCGGUGGAGGUCCGAAGCGAUACUGACGUGCAAAUCGUUCGUCCGACUUGGGUAUAGGGGCGAAAGACUAAUCGAACCGUCUAGUAGCUGGUUCCCUC